rnacentral:rRNA from 1 species
GAUGAACGCUGGCGGCGUGCCUAAUACAUGCAAGUCGAGCGAACAGACGAGGAGCUUGCUCCUCUGACGUUAGCGGCGGACGGGUGAGUAACACGUGGAUAACCUACCUAUAAGACUGGGAUAACUUCGGGAAACCGGAGCUAAUACCGGAUAAUAUAUUGAACCGCAUGGUUCAAUAGUGAAAGACGGUUUUGCUGUCACUUAUAGAUGGAUCCGCGCCGCAUUAGCUAGUUGGUAAGGUAACGGCUUACCAAGGCAACGAUGCGUAGCCGACCUGAGAGGGUGAUCGGCCACACUGGAACGGGGACCCGGUCCAGACUCCUACGGGAGGCAGCGGUAGGGAAUCUUCCGCAAUGGGCGAAAGCCUGACGGAGCAACGCCGCGUGAGUGAUGAAGGUCUUCGGAUCGUAAAACUCUGUUAUUAGGGAAGAACAAAUGUGUAAGUAACUAUGCACGUCUUGACGGUACCUAAUCAGAAAGCCACGGCUAACUACGUG